AACUCAAUCCACUCCCGCCUCAACCACAACAACAACAAAGACCCACUCACCCAAUCCGCCGCCACCACCCUCCCCGCCAAGUCUGGUAUCGUUAUCGGCUCAGGGAACUACAUUGUCACCGUCAGCCUCGGUACACCAGCCAAGCAACUCUCCCUCGUCUUCGACACUGGCAGCGACCUCACCUGGACCCAAUGCCAGCCAUGUCCUACUACUCGGUCUUGUUACAAACAGACUGAGCCCAUCUUCAACCCUUCUCUCUCCGCCUCAUACAAAAAGAUCCCAUGUACCACCGCCGCGUGUACUCAGCUCCCAUCCUCCGGCCUCGAACAAAGCUGCUCCGCCUCCACCUGCCUUUACAUCGCCGUUUACGGUGACAACUCCUUCUCUAAAGGGGUAUUUGGCAGCGAAAAGCUUACAUUGACCCCUACGGACGUUUUUGAAAGUUUCCUCUUCGGCUGCGGCCUAGACAACGGAGGCCUAUUCAGAGGAUCCGCCGGUUUGCUAGGUCUCGGCCGGAGCAGCAUCUCCUUCGUCGAGCAAACCGCCAAUAAAUACAACCGGUUCUUCUCCUACUGCCUCCCGUCGACUUCCAGCUCCACCGGUCACCUCACCUUCGGUGACGGAGGCUCUCCUAACGGCGUUAAGUUCACGAAGCUCAUCACGUCAUCCCAAAGCGAGUCGUUUUACGGCCUCGGCCUCGCCGGCAUCAAAGUCGGUGGGAGCCAGCUGUCGAUUGCGCCCUCGGUCUUUUCGUCUUCUGGAACGAUCAUCGACUCGGGGACGGUGAUCACGAGGUUGCCGGCGACGGCAUACGCAGUGUUGCGGGGCGCGUUUCGGGAGGCGAUGAAGAACUACACACUGACUAAUGGCGAUUCGUUGCUGGACACGUGUUACGAUUUCAGCGGCUUGAACACGGUGUCAUAUCCGAAGAUAGCGUUUGUGUUUGGGGAUGGACUUACGGUGGACUUGGACGCGACCGGGAUAUUGUUUCCGAUAAGUCCUUCGCACGUUUGCUUGGCGUUUGCCGGAAACAAGGAUGAUAGAGACGUCGGGAUUAUUGGGAAUCUUCAACAGAAGAGGUUGGAGGUUGUGUAUGACGUGGCCGGAGGAAAAGUCGGAUUUGCCCCUGCAGGUUGCGAUUGAGUAAUGACGUCGUCCAUGGGUAUAAGUGUAAUACAAACAGCUUGCUAGCUAUAGAAUAAAGCAUUGGGUUACAUAUUUGUGUGUAAUGUUUGUCUGUUGUAAGUCGGUGUCUCCUGUUUUUCUUUUUUGGGUUCUUAUUCUUAAGGGAAAUACCCAUGUAAUUCUUAUUUUCUAGAUAUAAAUUUAACUAUUUCUAAAUAUUUAAGAUAAGUCUUAAACCCAAAUUCCAAAUAUGCUGUCAUUUAAGAUAAUAUAUAUUUGUCCUAGUAUUAUCAGUUAAAUUACAAUAUGUGCCAUUAACCUUCAUCAAUUCCUUCCUUUGUUUGCAACUAAAUUUCAUUUUAGAAUCUAAACCGAACUCUGUGCGUGUCCGACACUUGGCGGGUGCCGGGCACACUUGACUAAAUUGCGCUUCUAACGAAACCGAAGUUCAUCUCAAGUUUGACUUCUGUUGAAAAUUCGGCAGAAUCUUCCAUGUAAAUAGUCGCUACCCCAAAUUGCAUGAAGUUUACAUUCAAGCAAUCCAACAACAUAACUAUAUGGCCUUAGGCUUUACAGAAAUCCUAGGGCAAUUUCAGAGCAAUACUAAUCAGUUUAAUUUACAGGAAUAGUUCAAUUAUAAAAGAAAUCCUACAUAGCGGAAAAGAUGAGUGAAGAGUGGUGACUACCCUGUGGUGGCGCUCUGGUACACGACUACUGCCUUAGGGUGCAAAACAUUUAAAAGUGUGAGUGGACAAAAAUAAACUUUUGGAAAAUAGAAUAUUAACAUACUAACCCCACUGUUAAAACAUUAUGUUCUAUAUUCGUACAAGAAUAAAGACAUACAUAUAACUAAUCACGCAUUCAAAUUCUCAAAACCUUUUGAAGGCACUGUAAAGAAAUAAUAUAUUUCUCACUUAGGUGUACCCAUCAUAUAUCCGUCAAUUCCAUGGUCUUUUACUUAUUUCCCAUAUUAUACCCUCAAUUCCUUGUGUCACAUAAUGCGACACAUCCUCGCAAGUCUCGGAAACACAAAGUCACCGGAGCCGCAUUCCUCGCAAGACUCAGGGGACAUUAAGUCAACCUGAGCCGCAUUCCUCGCACCACACGGUUCGGGCAUCCUCGAAACUAGUGGGGCAUUGUCAAACGCGCACUGACUCAACCGAACGCAACUAGAAUGUCCGUGGACAUUAUUAUAACCGUAGGCAACAAUUUUAUCCGAAGGCAACAUAUUAUUCGAAGGCAACAUAUUAUCUGAAUGCAACAUUUUAUCCGAAGGCAACAUCUUGGGUACCUAUGGUGGUUUAAAAAUAUUUCUUAGAAAAAUUAUACUUUUAUUUCUCAAUAAAUCCUUCAAUCAUAUUAUCACUUCCUUUCCUACUUUCCAAGCCUUUUAAACAUGAACAAAAUUUAAUAAAGAUAUUUGAAUUCAAAUAUUUAUGCUUGGAAAGUAAUAGUCAUAAAUAAUUCAUUCAAAAUCAAUCAAUGAAACUUUAAUUGCAUAAAAUUCAUUUACAAAACAAAAGUUCACUCACUGAGCAUCCGAGCUAGCCUGACUCUUUGAGGGUCUUUCCUGCACGUUCAACGAAAUCUGAGUACCUAUUUAAGCAAUUAAAACAUUUUAUUAAUAAAAUAGCUCAACCACAAUUACUUAUUCAACACCCUGACCCCCGGCCUCAUAAGUGCGUGUACGUGACUUACAAAGGUUACUAGGCCCAUUUUCAACAUUUCUGACAGGUGGAAUGGUCUGAAAAGACCCGAGUUUAAAAAAGCGAUUAAAUUUCCAUAUUGGUAAAUCCGGUACCCCGUCGGGUCCACGACCGCCGAUUACCCAUCUAAGAGUUCCUAUAGGUUCAACACACUUUACUAAACAUGCCCUGCAAGUUUGGUCCGAAUCGAACGAUCGGAUUACUCACGAUCGCACGAUUAUCGUUUAACUUAAACUUUGAAAUAUUGAAUCAGAGUAUCCGAAACUCCGAUUCUCGAUCCGCGAAUUUCUACAUGAUCCCAGAAGCGCCUAAAUCAACCUAAUUGAAAAUGAAGUAGAUCCAACGGUCCCAACAUAUCAAACCAGGAUAACGCCUAAUAUACGAUAUCUGAUCGACGAUCAAACAAUAACCAAAUUGAAAUUCGAGUAUACCGUCGCGCUCAGGACGACGUGGGGAUCAUUCUGGGACAAAAAUCCAACAUUGACACCCCGCCGACGCGCCGCCACCACUGGCAGGUAUAUUGAGUAAUUUUUCGGCGAUCGAAAAACUCCGAACUGCCAGUCAAUAAUCAUACCUACGGAUUAAGCACAUCAAGAGGAGUAAAUAUCAUGAAUCCAAUUGACAUUGGAACAAAGUUGCAAGGUUUGGAAAUGAAUGUAGAUGAAGAUAUGAUGGUUCAUAUUGCUUAGAAUUCACUAUCUAAGGAGUUUAAGUCUCUCAGAGAUACCUACAUUUCUCAAAAGGAAAGCUGGACACGGGAUGAUCUUAUCACCAUAUGUGUUGAACAGUAACACAAUAUAAUAAGAGAAAGAGAUGAAAAAAUGGUGAAUCAGAUGCAGUCAAAGCAAAAUAAGGAAUAUAGGAACAAAGCCAUUGCAGCUGGAAAAGAGAAAGAAAAUGAAAAGGAUAAUAACAGUCCAAAUGCUCUGAAACCAGUGGGAUUGAAAUGCUUCUUCUAUAAGAAAACUGGACAUAUGAAAAAGGAAUACAUAAGGUAUAAGAAAUGGUUGGACAAACAGAAAACUAAAGGUAAAAGUGAUCAAGUUUUGGUUUGCUUUGAAUCUAAUUUAGUUGAUUUUAUUGAUGAUUCAUGGUGGUUAGACAGUGGUGCAUCUAUUCAUGUGACUAAUUCUUUGCAAGGGUUCAUAAAGAGGAGGCUGCCAAGCAAGGAUGAAGUGAAGGUGUUCGUAGGAAAUGGUAGGGGUGGCAUUUUAAACCGAAAAACCGAAAAACCGCAAAAAUCAACCGAUAUUUUACCGCAAUAAAACCGCAAUCGCGGUAAACCGAACCGCAAUCGCGGUAUUAAGAACCGAACCGCAUUUACGGUUGCGGUUGCGGUAUUUGAUUUUCAAAAUUUGCAGUUACCGCAAACCGCAAAGUAUAGCCGCACGGCUAUACUCUAUGAAUAAUUAAGUAAAAUUGUAAACCCUUCUCUUCUCUUGAAUUGGUGGAAAGGGAACCAAACAAGAUAUCCUAUUCUUUCACAAGUUGCCAAGGAUAUCUUUGCAAUUCCAAGUUCUACGGUUGCUAGUGAAAAUGCUUUUAGCCUAGGCAAGAGGAUUGUGGAUCCUUUUAGAAGCUCUUUGCAUCCUAAAAUGGUAGAGGCAUUAGUGUGUACUAGUGAUUGGCUUAGAGCGGACGAAUUUUCCUUUUACAAGGAACCAACAGAUGAUGAGGUUGAAUUCUACAAGGAAAUGGAAGAUAUGACAACUUGUAAGUAAUUAGUUUAUUUAUGCUAAUGUUAUUUAUGCUUCUUCUUAUAAUAAAAUGUACUAAACUAUGUUGUUUUAUUUGUAGAUAGCAUUGGUGCUCAAACAAUACAAAGGGGUUCUUCAAAUCCACUCACCACCAACACUUGAGUUUGUAACAUUGGUGUAUUGCAUUUUUCCUUUUAGUUUGUAACUUUAAUUAACUGUGAAUUGGAUUUUUCUUUUUGAUUGUAACUUUAAUUCAUUUUGCUUUUGGUUUGUAAAUUUAAAGGAUUUGGAAUUGGAAUGCUUGAGAAGUUUAACUUUAAUUGGAAUGUUUGGAAUUGUAACUUUAAUUUUCUUAGGUUGUGAAUGCUUGAGAAUUGGAAUCGAUUGUGAAUUUAUAUAUGCUUGAGAAAUUGAGGUUGUAUAUUUAUUUAUUUAGGUUGUAAAUUUAUAUUUUUGUGAAUGCUUGAGAAUUUGCGGUUUUAAACCGCAAAUUCUCGGUAACCGACCGCAUUUUUGCGAUUUACCGCAAUGCGGUAAACCGCAAAACGCGGUCGGUUUGCGGUUUCAAAAAUCACCAAACCGCAAAUAGUCGGUCGGUUUGCGGUUUGAAUAAAAAUUCGCGGUUACCGAACCGCAACCACCCCUAGGAAAUGGAGAAAAGUGCAAGUAGAUAAUAUUGGAGUAGUUAGGAUUGAACUAGAUUCUUGUUUUGUUUUUUAUUUAGAAGAUGUGGUUUAUGUUCCUUCAAUGAGCAAGAAUCUCAUCUCAGUUACUAGGCUUGUAAAGUCAAAGUUCACUUUGAACUUUGAUGAUUUUGGUUGUUCUAUUUUUAGAAAUAAAAGCUUAAUUGGAAAAGCAAGUAUUGUGGAUGGUAUGUUUCGAUUAAACUGCAAAAAAACUAUGCAAAUCAACUUAGUUCAAUCCAAACCAUGCAAAGAAUUAUAUUUUAAAUUGUGGCAUAAGAGACUUAGACGUAUUUCAAAGGCAAGAAUCAAUACUUUAUGCAAAGAAUUAGUUGUACCACCAUUGAAUCAUGAUAAUGCAGAUGAUAUAUGCCUAGAAUGUACAAAGGGAAAAUUGACCAACCUAAGAAAGAACGGUGUUGUAAGAAGUCAAAGUGUAUUAGAAUUAAUCCAUACAGACAUAUGUGGACCAUUCCCAACUCCAUCAUGAAAGGUUUAACUACUUCAUCACUUCUACAGAUGACUAGUCGAGAUUUGGACAUGUUUUUUUAAUCAAAGAAAAAUCCAGUGCUUUGGACAUGUUCAAAAUUUAUAAAGCUGGAGUGGCACUACUACAAAAAAGCAAAAAGACGACGGUAAAUCACCGUCGUGUAUUCGGUUUUUCAAUGGUCGUGGAAUCCACCAUCAUCUUUUCCCUCAUAAACCACGACGCUAAAUCACCGUCGUUGUUAAAAUAUACAACGUCAUCAACAAAUACAAAACGACGUCUUUGUACUGCAAAAAGAUCUAAAAAAGCAGUCGAGGAUGAGAAUAGACGACCAACUCUCUAAAAAAACCGUCGUUAAAAAGGAAAAAUAUGACACAUAUUAAGAGAACAAGGCCGCAAGAUAGACAUACAACGACGAAAAUAAAAAUACGACGCCGUUAAAUAUCAUUUUCACGACAAUAAAAAAUUUGACAUCUUUAAAUACAUUAGAAGACGACGUUAUUGAUACCUACUACGUCGCAUAUAUAAAAACAGUCGUCGUAAAAUUAAUUUUCCACUUCGAUUUUUCGAUAAAAGAUGACGUGGAAAUAGUUGUCAGUGUCAUUAUUUACGACGUAUGUAUUUAUAGAGUAGACGUUGAAAAACGAAACAACGUCGGUUACAAAUAUAUGAGAGUCGUAUUACAAAAUUUAUACGUCAUAUUUUCAGAAACAAACAACGACGAUAAAUAUUAGACGUUGUUAAAUAAAACAACGUCGGAAAACAAUAAAAACAGACGUGUUUAGUCUGCUAAAGUUCUAGAAAAUAGUCGAGGAUGAGAAUAGACGACCAACUCAAACAAAUCACCGUCGUUAAAAAAGAAAAAUAUGACACAUGUUAAAAGAACAAGGCCGCAAGAUAUACAUACAACGACGACAACUAAAAUACUACGCCGUUAAAUAUAAUUUACACGACAAGAAAAAAUAUGACGUCUUUAAAUACAUGAGAAGACGACGUUAUUGAAAUAUACUACGUCUCUUAUUUACAAACAACCGUCGUGAAAUAAAUUUUUCACUUCGAUUUUUCUAAAAAAGAUGACGUGGAAAUAGUUGUCAGUGUCAUUAUUUACGACGUAUGUAUUUAUACAGUUGACGUUGAAAUGCGAAACAACGUCGGUGGCAUUUAUAUAGUCGACGUUGUAUUUAUAUCUAUCAUCAUUACUCACGACACACUUAAUAAUAUAGACGACGUUGAACUUCUAAACAACGUCGGUUCCAAAUAAAUGAGAGCCGUAUUACAGAACAUAUAGACGGCGUUGAUUAUGAUGAGAGCCGUAUUACAAAUAACGUCGUUUAAUUGUUAUUAGACGGCGGUUAUAAUGAAUUUCCGUCGGAAUUCAUUUCGUUCCUCUUCGUUUAUAAAAGAACUUGCGACGUGAAAAAUGUAUGAUGACGUCGUAUUUUUUAACGUUCAGAUUAUAUAUCUCGUUUUUUAGACGUCGGUAUUAUGGGAUUGGAGUCGUGUUAUUUUGAAUUACAUGGCGGUUCUUAAUCCUUCCCCGACGUGAUAUCCUGAAUAAUUGCUUCACAAUAGCGUCGUGGUUCUUCAUUGUUACGUUGCUUUAAGACGUCGGUAAAUAUGCUGAAUAACUGGUUCACAAUAACGUCGUGUUUUAUUUGAACGUAGAAAGUGAAGAAAUCACAUUACAAUAUAUUAUAAAAUUAAUGUCAUACACUGCCAAUUACAUAAGCAUCAUUCAAUCCAUAUAUCUUCACACCCAUCUCGAAUAUUUUGACCGCCUAACUCACCCACCAGUUCAUCAAAUGUGUCAACAUUUGGCAUCCCUCUAGUAAAUGGCUCACACUCAAUUAUCACAUCACCUAAGACUUCAUCACCAAUAACAUCAUUAUAUUCUCUAUUAGGCAUUGAUAACACUACUGACCAACCACGAUGCAUCGGGUCGUCAACAAAAAAUAUUUGUUUGACUUGAGAAGCCAAAACAAAUUGGUCAUUCCUAUGUCCAAUUUUACUCAAAUCUACAAGGGUAAAUCCAAGUUCGUCGACUACAAGACCAGAACUAUCUAUCCAAUCACACCUAAAGACUGGGAUUGUAAACUUUUGGUAGUCAAGGUCCCAAAUUUCUUGAAUGACACCAUAGAAACCCAUAUUUGAGAGAAUUGGGUUUUUAUCCUUGGCACUAACACAUGGACAACGGAUAUGUAUUGUAGUUAGAAGAUUUUCUACAGCAAAGUUCAAAAAUGCUUCCACCCCAAAUUCAUAUGCCUUCGAUCUUCUAUCCGAGUGCAUCCAUGACUUAUCCAUCUCCGACACUAUAACCUAUUAUCUAUAAUAAAGUGAAAAUACAGGCAAUGACCAUCACUAUAGCAGAUUAUACAAUGAUCUAAUCGCAAGUAAUACACAACAGAGACGACGGGUUUUAAACAAAAACAGACGUAUUUGGCAUAUAUAGACGACGGAUUUUCAACAGACGUCGUCUAUUAUAAGUAAUACAAACGACGGUUUAUGAAAAAACCGUCGUGUAUAAGUAAUACAACGACGGUAGUUUAAAAAAACCGUCGUGUAAUCGUCGUCGUAUGCCUUAAAAUUUGUCGUGUCUCAGUUUAUUUUCAAGAACACAAAACCCAUUAAGAACACAACAUAUAUAUGAAACCAAGCAAGAAACCAACAUAUACAUGAAACCAAGCAUGAAAACAAUAAAUCCAUUCCCAAUUCAACAUAACAUAGGGUGAUUAAAAGAUACGACAAAAUUAAAUCCAUUCCCAAUUCAACAUAACAGAUAAUGUAAUCCAUGAACCCAUUAAACAGAAAAUCCAUGAACCCAUACCUAUAAGCACAUUAUUAACAGAUCGCAAAGCAUACACAUAAAACCCUUUAACAAAACAACCUAAUAUCACUCGAAUCGUUACUAGAAUCAUCACUCGAAUCCCCAUCUUCAUUAUCAGUUUCUUCCUUCGUAGGUACUAUUUGCUCCCCAUCAUUGGUGCACUUUGCACCUUCUCCAGAGCGGAAAAUGACAAGAUCAAAUAAAGGUGUACUUUUGCUGGAAAUCAACAUAAAAAGACACAGAUCACCAACUUCCAAAUGAUUGUCACGCACAACGUCCAUCCAACUACGCCUGAAUAAGAGCCAAAUCUAAAAAAAUUUAGGUCGCGCGAAAAUUUUUAGAGCUCGCGCGUUUUAAAACGUCGAAAGAAAAACCAAGGCGAAAGUUCUACAAGUACCGACGUAAAUUUAAUAUUCCACGACGGAAACUUCAUUUUUCGGAUUAAGAACGUAAGGCCGUUCAUUUUGAAGCUUCAUUUUUCGGAUUAAUUUUAAAUUUAUUUUGAAUUUUUUAUAUAACGACGACUGAAAAACCACGUCGGUGUUAAGAAAUUAAAGACGUUGUAAAUUAUAUAAACCGACUUACAUAUUAAAAUGACGUCGUUUAAAGCGUAAACCAUGUCGUAUGUUUUUCUGUACGACGUAAAAUAUGUAUUCCACGACGCAACCACCGUCGUUAAAAAUUAAUACCCUAAACCCAUAAAACUAAAUUAUACAAUUUAAAAAAUUAAGUUUAUAAAAGGUUUUAUGGUUUUAAAGCCUAACAUAUACCCUAGACUACCCAAAAAUUAUACUUUAAAAAUAAACCCCAAUAAAUAACAACCCUAAUCUCUAAACCCUAGACUCUAAACCCUAAACCAUAAAACUAGAAGUGAUUUUAUGACUCAUAAAAACAAUUUUGUUUUGGAUGGUCAUUUUAAAUUUUUGUUAUUCAAAAUGAAUUUUUUCAAGGUUUAUGUGGAAGAAAAUAUAUCAAUGACUUCAUAGGAGUUGACUUUUCAAUUUUCUGAUUUAUUUUAAAUUUAUUUUGAAUAUUUUGAUAUAAAAAUAAUAAAAUAUUCUUACCACAACAAUAAACCACGUCGGUGUUAAUAAAUUGUAGACGUUGUAAAUUGUAAUAGACUACUAAGUCGUUAAAAUGACGUCGUUAAAAUGAGAAACCAUGGCGGCUAUUUAACUAUACGACGUAAAAUAUAUAUUCCACGACUUAACCGCUGUCGUUACAUAAACGUCGUCGAUGAUACCCUGAACCCUUAAGAAAUUGAAGAUGUUGUAAACCAUAAACGACUCAAUUGUUCAAAGAACGUCGUCUAACUAUAUUUUUACGUCGUAUUUGUUUAAAACACGAAACAACAAAAUACGACGGUUUUUGACUUUAUUAGGUCGUUGGAAAAGUAUUACACGUCGGUUAAGCAAUUUGUAUGUUUGUUUUUUUUUUAAUUUAAGAAAACCUCAACAAAUUUUUACAUUACAUAUUAUAGAGAAAAUUUGUACAUUAUACAUAAAUAUCAAGUGUUCAAUAAUUGCCCUGUUUAAUAAUUUGGAAAACAAACUCUGCCCAUUCAUUCCGGACUUCAUCAAUGGCUUCUUGGGGGUAUGAAGCUUCCUGGUUUCCCUUGGCAUACUGCAUAAACAAUGACUAUUAGGGUUUAUAAAUAAAAAGAAAUUCAAUCACAGACGACGAUAUUUUUCAUAACCGACGUAGUAUAUCCAUUCAACGACGUUAAUUUUACAUGACCGUCGUUGAUAAUACAAAAAACGACGUGAAAUGUAUGAAGGUAAUUUCUUCUUACCUUAUUCUCAAACCCCAAGGAAGGAUCCAUGAUGAUGUCCCUCAUGAAGCGCAUCACAUAAUACCCGCAUUCGACAUUGCUGGGUUGCUUUGGUGUGCCUGAGAGAGUUUUCCAAAUUACAUUUUUACGUCCUGCUCGGCCUAUGUGGGUAUUAUAUAUUUUUAAAGCACUGUUCACGAUGUUUUUCGCCUCUUCGUCGACCACACGAUGACCUGGCAGAGGAUCCAGAAAAUAGACGGUCUCCUUCUUUGCUCUUACAAUCAGCAAGAUCCAAUGACGGCUGCACAAAAUUAAUAUAAAAACGACGGUUAUUUACAAAAACGACGUAUUAUAGUAUUUCACACGACGAAAUAAAGUAGAUAACGACGACAUUAUAUAUUUAUCACGACGAUAAAUAAAUACCGACGUGGUUAGUAGUUUCAAACGACUAAAUAAAAUAAAACACCGACGUGGUUAGUUUAUAAGCUGUCAUUUAUUGAAAAUCAUAAAAACAAAAUCCUAAGGAGACUAACCCUGGAUUGUAAGGCAUCAUGAAAAUCUGUUCACCGUCUGUCUUCUGAAGUCGAGCUGCUACCAGUCGUGAUCUUUCAGUUAUUGUGCCAGAGUUGGCACUAACUGUAGCAGGGUCGAUAAAGCUAACCAUGCUGCACAUAUUGGCUUGUUUCAAAACAUCGUGUAAGUACCUAAAUACAUAAAAUAAUAUAAACAAGUCAGCACAAACAAACACGACGGUUAUGUAUAAAAAAACGACGUAUUAUAAUAUUUCACACGACGUACUGAAAUAGAUGAGGACGUUAUAAUAUAUUUAUCACGACGGUAGUUAGUUAAGACGACGUGGUUAGUUAGUUAAGACGACGCAAUAUAUAAACCAACGAGGUAUUAUUUUAGAAGUACAAACCUCAUAUAUACAGCCAAUACAGUAGCUCCAAUUUCUUCCAUGCCUGCAAAUUGUGUAAUAUCUUCAGGCAGGAGGAAGGUAUCGUGCUCACCACCAAACACCUCCUUAUCAAUUGUAAAUUGGAGUGUCUUAUCCUCAGGCAGGAGUGUCGUUUCCACAAAAUGACAAAGGGUUUUUAAAGAAGAUGGCGCCUCCAUAUUUGAAUAAGCACCAACUUCAAUAACCUGUUUAAAGAAAUAAAAAAAAUGACGUGGUAAUUCAAUAAAGACGACGGUUUAAGGAAUAAAACGUCGUCUUAAAAGUAUUUAAACGACGGUGAAAAAACUGUCGUGGUAAUUCAAUAAAGACGACGGUUUUAUGAAUAAAGCGUCGUCUGAAACCAUUUAAACGACGGUGCAAAAACCGUCGUUUAAAUAUUUUAUUACGUCUUAAAAAAAGUCCGCCGUCUAAGUUUUAAACAAACGACGGAUUAAAUAAAAAUAUCGACGUCUGAAAUUUUGAAAAACAAAUAAAAAAAGGCAAAGUUAUGUGAACAUACCUUGUCGUCAUGCUUUUCUUCAUCUUCUUUCUCCUUUUCUUAUUCCUUCUCUUCAUCUCUUUUUUCUUCUUCCUUCUCUUCAUCUGGCUGAUGUUUCCCCAUUUUGGCAGUAUCAUCCUCCAAAUGUAGGGAUCUCACAUCACCUCCAGAGCAGCUAGCUUUGUCAGACAUUGGAUUUUUGGGGCUUUGGCUAAUUCUUGGUUUAAGCAUGCUUGGAUCAAAAUUGGGAAUUAAUUGGGAAAGCUGACUCAGGAAAUGCUCCCUCUCAGCCUCUACCAAUUGUUUUGUCCUAGCCUCCAUCCUUAAGGCUUCUUCCCUUGCCUUAGCCUCCAUCUUUUUAGUCUCUUCUUGAAGGAGAACUCUUAAACUGUCCUUCAAACGGUCGUCAAAGCUCACCCUCUGUGGUUUGGGCAAAUUGAAAUAUUGCCUUGGGGAAACACCAGCACCAACUCUCCUCACUCUGCCUGGAUGCUCGGGGCCCAAAGCCAUGGUCAGCACAUCAUUGCUGCCAUCUACUCUGACUUUGCCUUCCGAGACUUGUUUCUGCAAUUCAUCCUAAAACAAAGAUAAACAAAAAAACACACGACGGUUAUUUAUUUACAAACGACGUAUUAUAUAAUUUCACACGACGCAAUAACGUAUAAACCGACGUUAUUAUAACUUAUCACGACGGUAGUUAUACCGACGUGGUUAUUUAUUUAAAACGACGAAAUGAAUAAACAACCGACGUCUUAUGCUAUAAUUAAAGAAAACAGAGUAGUGAUUCCUAUUUAGACCGUUAACGACGUUUUUAAAAAAGUUUCGACGUGGUAAUAUCAUUCAAACGACGCGAAAAUGAACCACCGACGUCUUAUGCUAUAAUUACAGAAAAUUAGUAGUGAUUCCUAUUUAGACCUUUAACGACGUUUUUAAAAACUUUUCGACGUGGUAAUAUCAUUCACACGACGAAAAAUAUAACAUACGACGUAAUAAGAAUAAUUCACAGUUUAAUAAAAAUUUAAAACAGAGUGAUAGUAGGCUUACAAUUAAUUUUGCUUUCUCUGCCACCUUUGGAUCAGGGAUGUUACCAUGUUUGUCCUGUCUAGCUCUCUUCCAUAAGGUAGAUCGAUCAAUUUCUACCCCAGGCAUGGUUUCCUCCAAUUGAUCCUCCAAUCCAGCAUAUCCUUUUCGAGACAAUCGAUGAUUGUACUCGAGUUUCUUCCUAAUCUGUGCAUGUUGAGAAUGCACAGACUCAAAAUCUUUGGAUAGCCUUGAAGCUACAAAGGCAUCCCAUUGUGCUUUCUCUAUGAAUUUAUAUGUUUCAGGGGGUUGGCUUAAUUUCUCCCUGUCAUUGGUGUAUGGAAGGAUAUAAUGCCUCGUUAGUGUAGACUUGAAAUCCUUCCAUUUCUGGAAGCAGAAGCUAAAACAGAGGUCUUGCCCCCUUGGCCUACGACAAAAGCCAUGUCAACUGCUUCCCAAAUCUGCUCCUUUAUAUCCUUGGGGAUUUGGGACCAUUUCUUGUCCACAAGUGGGAUCCUGGAGCGUGCCAACACACCAAUAUACGACUGCAUCUCAAUAUGUGCUUGGCCAACACCUUUCCCCCUUUUAUUGUACUCAACAAUUGGCCUCAGUUUCUGAAGCUUUCUCUUCACAACACGAGGCAUUGUGCUCAUACCUCGACCAGUCUUUGAAUCAUCAGAGAUUGUUGUCUGGCUGGUUGGUUCUGUCUCAGCAGAUGAUGAAGCAAACUUCAUCUUCUUCGAAGACUUCAUCUCCUUCGAAGACUUGUCUUGAGGAGCUACCAUUCCAAGCUUCUUGGAGCCAGAAUCCUUAGUUUGUUGUUGAGAAACCAUUUUAACAGACAAAACUGCAAGUGAAAAUAUUUCAGGAAAACAUUAAGAACACAAACGACGGUAUUAAAAAAAUACGACGUAUGAUAUGAUUUUAGACGACGCAAUGAAAUAAUCUCAGACGUAAUAAAUGUUUAAAACCAUUAUUUAUAUAACGUCGUGGUAUAUAUGUUCACACGACGUCAAUAGUAAUACACCGUCGUGGUAAACUAUUAUUUAUAUAACGUCGUGGUAUUUAUGUUCAUACGACGUUAAUAGUAAUACACCGUCGUGGUAUUAACAUUCACACGACGUAAAACAAUAAGAUAUUUUGUCGUCUAUAUUAGAUACCAACCCUAGUUUCUUUUUCUUUAUAUUUUAUCAAAUAAGGGAAAAACAAAAACCAUUGUUCAGAGAAAUCAAACCUGCAAUUAAACAAGCAUAUAAAAAAAGACUAUUAUUUUAAAAACAACUUUGUCAAUUUUCAGACGACGCUAGAACAACUGACGAACCGUCGUGGUCUACCGUCGUCUUAUUUAGUUGAGGUAGUUGUCUUCAAAGUUGGAAACUUUCCCUCUUUGUCUGUAUAUUUUAUCAAAUUUGGAAAGAAGUACAAUGAUUUUGGCCAGAAAAAAGGUAAAAAGAUUUUUCAAACAAAAAACGUAUGAGCAUGCAAAACAGUAACCAAAAUAGUGAAAAUGAAAGCUUACCUUUUGCGUGCAAUGAAAGCAAGAGGAAGAUGAUCGAUGUUUAAGUUCAAGGACGACGAAGAAGACGAGAGGAAGACGAUGAGAAACUCUGACAAUGCUCUGACAAGGAAAAAAGACGAAAAGGUUUCUCUGGAGAUUGAAAUUUUUAAUCGGGUUUGGAAACAGUGCAUGUGUAAGUUCAAAAGUUGCUUACAUAUAAAACCAUUUCAAAAAAAUAAUACGGCGGUUACAUUUAACUACGUCGUUUUUAACUAACACGACGAAAUAUUUUUCGUUCGACGUGGAAUCAUUUCAUUUAACGUCGUUAGGUUUAAUAUAACCGACGUGGAUUUUAAUUUUUAAAUUAUGAAUAUAAUUUUUUUUCCCGUGACCUUUCAGUUUAUUUUUCAAUUACAGUGCGUUAUAAAUAGAGUUCUUUUUCCAGAGGAAAUUUAAAACGAAGGAAAUUAAUAUUCUGCAAUAUGUAAAGUUUCUUUUUUGGAUGACAGAUUUAAAUAAAAUAAGAAUAUAAAAAUAACUAAUGUGUAAGUCAAGUAGACGAAAAGUUGCUUACAUAUAAAAUCAUUUCAAAAAAAUAAUACGGCGGGUACAUAUAACUACGACGUAUAAAGUACAAAAUACGACGGUAAAUUUAACUUCGGACGUGGUAAAUAAAUACGACAGUAGUGUUGUAGGUACCGUCGUAGUAAACUCAAAAAUUAAAGUACAUAAGUAAUAACUCGCGUCAUGGUAGAUUAUUUAAGACGUCGUGAUUAUUAAUGUACCGACGUGGAGUUCUGUAAUAUACGUCAGUAAUACCGACGUUGAUUUUACAAUUUAAACGGCGGUUUUUUGGUAAGGACCGCCGUUGGUUUUAAAAAUUUAUUCUAUAAAUUUGUCGCUUUCAUUCAUUUUCGCGGUUUACAUUUAGGGUUCCAAGUUCUUCCUCUCUCAGAGACACUGUCUCUCACAUCUCAAAGACAAUAAUUUGGAGGUCUUUCUCAAAGAGAAAUUGAGCUUACAUUUAGGCUAGUUGACAAGAAGAAGCUUGUCAACUAGCCUUCUCACUUCCUUGAUCAAGCCUGAUAGGACACUUAGUGCUUCUGAAUACUCCUUGCUUUCCAUCAAAAGAGAUGCAAGCCUGGCCUCCACUCGUUGUCGAAGGAAAGUUCGCUUCUCAGGGAAAUCUGAAAAUCAGAUGUGCUUGAUCCUCUGCUUGAUUUUUUUGACUAAGAAGAUCCGUCAGAUUUAAGCAUGAGCAAUCGAAUCCGUAGAGCUUCAGAAGAAGAAGAAGACAUUGUCAAUGCUUUGAACUAUACAAGUCUGCAGAAAGAUAAAGGACCAAACUGUUAAAGAAACUGAAACAACGGCGGUUUUCUGUUCUACCGUCGUCUUUUCUCGUCGUCUAUAUUAAGGUAAGAUGGCGGUAGAUUUAUAAUUACCGACGUAGAUUAUUUUGUUAAACGUCGUUAAGUGUACUACAACCGACGUGGAUUUUAUUUUUAAAUUAUAAAUAGAGUUUUUUUUCCAGACUUCUUUCAGUUUUAGUUUUCAAUUACAAAGCGUGAUAAAUAGAUUUUUCUUUCCCGAGGAAAUUUAAAAUGAGGGAAAUUAAUGUUCUAGAAUUUGUAAACUAACACGACGCAAUAUUACUAACCCGAGGAAAUUAUAAAUAGAUUUUGCUUUCCUGAAGAAAUUUUAAAUUAAUUCAGUUUGAAACAAAACGACGGUUUUUUGUUAUGCCGUCGUUUUUAACUAACACGACAGAUUUAAAUAAAAUAAGAAUAUAAAAACAACGACUGUUUUUUUACUACUGUCGUCGUUUUUCGUCGUCUUAAGUAAGACUAAGACGACGUAAUAUAUUUGUUGAGCGACGUUGAUUUGUUUUUAAACGUCGUUAGGUAUAAUAUAACCGUCGUUGAAAAUUGUCUCUCUGAUUGCAAAUUUGCAACGACGUUGAUCAACUUCCAAAAAAUUGUCUCUCUGAUUGCAAAUCUGUGUCAUCUGUUAAGAUUAUUUUGUAUUUUAAAGCCGUGGAUUUGUUUGUAAUUAUACGGCGUCUUAUACGAAAACCUCGUCGUGUUAUUUUAUGAGUAAAAACGGCGGCUUUUAUUGAAAUCGUCGUCUUUACUUUCUACGUCGGUCUAUUCAUAACUUCUGCCGUUCUUUGUUUGCUUUGAUUUUACAUUGCGGAAAUCUGUUUCAAAUAGACGUCGGUUGUUUAAUUAGGUACGUCGUUGUUUUUGAACAGCCAUUUGAAUCUCCAUUUUUUAGUUGUCUAAGGUGGUAUUACACGACGGUGUUUUUAGAACCGUCGUCUUUUUAAAAACCACGACGGUUUUCACUUAGACCGUCAUUGUUUUCUGGUCGUCUUUUUCACUUUUUGUAGUAGUGUGGAAAACCAACUAGACCUAAAGAUAAAAGUUGUAAGGCCUGACAGAGGAGGAGAGUUCUAUGGGAGAUUCGAUGAGCUUGGAGGAAUCUUGGUCCUUUUGCAAGGUUUCUAUAGCAAGAAGGAAUCAUUGCUCAAUACACUAAUCCAUAGACUCCACAGCAAAAUCGAAUUGCAUAGAGGAGAAACAGAACUCUAAAGGAUAUGAUAAGAAGCAUGAUGUGAUGCACAAACUUACCAAUUUUUCUGUGGGGAGAAGCUUUGAACACAUCAAAUCACAUACUCAAUCGAGUACCAAACAAGGGUAUCAACAAUAUCCCUUAUGAAGUUUGGAAUAAGAAAAAAUUACGCUUGAAACAUUUGAAAACAUAGGGCUGCAAGAUAGAGGCAAAGCUUUAUAACCCUAUGGAAAAGAAGCUGGAUUCGAGAACUGUAAGUGGUUAUUUCAUAGGAUAUCUAGAUAGAACUAAAGGAUACAGAUUCUAUUGUCCUAAAAACACUACCAGAUUUGUAGAAACUCAGAGGGCAAUGUUUAUAGAAUCUGAAGGUGAGACAAUCGAAGAUGAAAAUUUUGAGUUUGAUGAAGAUAUUGCAGAAACUGGGGAAACAAUACAAACUGACAUUUUGGUGUUACUAAGUUUUGACUUGAAUGGCAAACAAAACAACCAAGAAGGGCAAACUGGUACAGACCCUAUGGUCACUGAAGAAGAAACUCAAGAAAAUCAAGUUUUACUACCCGAAAAUCAAGAUGUAGUUCAAACACAAGAAGGAACUAAUAAUCAGACAAAUGCAGGACUAAGAAGGUCAGAAAGACCAAAGAAACGUGCUUUACAUAAUGAUUAUGUUUACCUUCAAGACUCAGAGCAUAAUGUGAAUGACAUUGAGGAUCCUAUGAACUUCAAGCAAGCAAUGAUGAGUAACAAAAAUGAAAAUUGGUGGGCUGUUUUGAAAUCAUAAUUAGGUUCCAUGGAAAAUAAUGGAGUUUGGGAGCUUGUGCCUUUACCAUAAGGGAGCAAACCAAUUGGCUACAAGUGAGUGUUCAAAACCAAGAGAAAUUCGAAGGGGUGGAUAAAUAGAUAUAAGGCUAGAUUGGUUACUAAGGGGUUCACACAGAAAGAAUGAAUUAAUUUCAAUGAGACCUAUUCACUUGUCAUAACAAAAGACUCCUUGCAAGUGAUCAUGGCACUAGUAGCUCAUUUUGAUUUACACUUGCCUCAAAUAGAUGUUAAGACUACAUUCUUGAAUGGAAACUUGGAGGAAGAAAUUUAUAUGCAACAACCAGAAGGUUUCAUUCAAGAGAAUGGAGAAAAUCUGGUUUGCAAGUUGUGUAAAUCAAUCUAUAGUCUAAAACAAGCAUCUAGAGAGUGGUAUAAGAUUCAAUGAAGUUGUUAAACUAUAUGGUUUUACAGAGAAUGUCUUAGAUAAGUGCAUUUACAUGAAGAUGAGUAGGAGUCACUUCAUAAUUCUGAUUCUUUAUGUAGAUGACAUUCUGCUAGCUUGCACCAACAUGUCCAUGUUACACGAUUGCAAGGCAUUCCUGGCUAAACAUUUCGACAAUGACAGAUUUGGGAGAAGCCUCAUACAUUUUAGGAAUCGAAAUUAGCAGAAAUAGAAAGAGAGGUUUGUUGGGACUAUCAUAGAAAACUUAUAUAGAAAAGAUACUCAAAAGGUUUAACAUGCAAGGCUGUGCAAGGUCAGAUGUGCCUAUUUCGAAGGGAGAUAAAUUUAGUACUAAUCAAGCACCAAAGACUGAUCAAGGAAAGCUUGAGAUGGCAGAUAAACCUUAUGCAUCAUUAGUGGGGAGUCUCAUGUGUGCACAAGUAUGCACAAGACCUGAUAUUACUUUUAUAGUAAGUGUAUUGGGAAGAUUUUAGUCAAAUCCUGGACAAGCAUAUUGGAUUGCUGGUAAAAGAGUCAUGAGAUAUUUGCAGAGAACAAAAGACUAUAAGUUGGUUUACAAAAGAAGUGACAGACUGGAAGUAGAAGGUUAUGCUGAUGCAGAUUUUGCAAGUUGCAAAGAUGACUUGAAAUCUACAUUAGGAUAUGUUUUCCUAUUUGAGCAGCAAUAUCAUGGAGAAGUAACAAGCAACCACUCACAAUUGCAUUGACUAUAUUGGCAGAAUUUCUGGCUUGUUAUGAAGUAACCACUCAAGCUAUGUGAUUAAAGAACUUUAUCACUAGUUUGGGUGUGGUUGAAUCAAUUCAACAACCUAUACAUCUUUGGAAUAAUAACAGUGCAAGAGUACUUUUUGCAAAAGGGAAUAAAAGAACAAAGGCAUCAAGAAUUCUGGAAGUUAAAUUCUUUGCUGUCAAAGAAAAGACUAGAGAUGGGCAUACUGUGUUGGAGCACAUUGGCACAAAUGAAAUGGUUGCAGAUCCACUUACUAAGGGGUUACCAAAUGUUGUUUUUCACAGACAUGUGAUUAGCUUGGGAUUGACAGUUCAUUUGGAUGACUAAAACAAUGGGAGUUUUAUCAAGUUCUGGUAGUUUAACUAGUUUUGCUAUUUUCUAUUUAAAUUCAUAGAGUGGUGUUUUAAUUUGGAUGAUUUUCAGUUUAAGGAUUCGAAUAUAGUAUAUUUAUGCAAUGUAGUUUAUAUGCACAUGUGAUUACUUGAAUAUGUGUGGGUGGCAUAGCAUGCAUUUAAGCUAGCCAUGAGAAGAUUGUAUUCAUGACAGUUUGUAAUUUUUGUUAUGCAAAUUGAGACCUUGUUAGUCAUUUAUAGGGACAAAGGAAUUAGAUGACUUUUGUUUAAAGCACUUUCAGUAAGGUCAUCUACAUUCUAAAGUUUUAAUCUUGAUCGAAGCCUUAUGUGGUGUUGAAGAGUUUUAAGUGUGAAUAUAAAGACUUUGAUAACUGUAUGAUCAAUAAGUCUCUUAUAAUUUUUCUUCAUUAACAACUUAGUGGGAAUUUUAUCUGGAUAUACUUUCACAAGGCCUUAAAGUGAUCAAUACGAGUUUUCCUUAGCGAUUAUUUAACCAAGUGGGAGACUGUAAGACAAAUCCGUGUCUUAGUCUAAAUUGUGGUCUUCUAAUCAUAUCUGGUUUGGAGGAGCUCUAAUUGAUCAGGAAGUAUUAAUCCUAAUACAAGUAGGAUACUCAAUCAAACAGUGCGUUUACAUUGAGAUAGGAGUAUCUUAAGGAUUCCUAAUUCUAUAUGGAUUAAAACAUCCAAUUCCUAAGUAAACAAAAUCUGUUUGAGUACUCCUUGAUGGGUAAGGUACCGGAACAGAUGCUUAUAAAUAAGGUCCCUUUUGUAUCGGCUAAAAUACACUCAUAACAGAAAACUCACCCCAUCCAGAGAUAGAGAUAAAGAGCCGAGUUGGAGAAGAAGAUUCUUAUUCACAAUGUCUGAUCAAGGUUAGUAUUUGAGAUUCAAAGACAUGAUAACUUAUAGUAUAUAUGGGUUGUUAAGAUUUUAUCCAGAGAUUCAAAGAAAGCUUUUUUCUUUUUAUUAAACCCUUUUCAUCUUUUUCAAUGGUGCACAGUGCAAUAUCCGAGUGGGGAAAUUGGGAAAUUAAAGGAUGAAAAAUAAUAAUUGGGGCAUGCCAAAUUGGCAAAUGCGUAAAGGAGAUGAAGCCUAUCAAAAACAUCAUUUGUUGGCAAUGGAAACUGCAGGAUGAUUGGAAGUUAAGCCAUCUAAAAUCUCCAUCAGUAUCUCUCACUCACUCAUCUUUUGGGACAGAUUCCAGCUUUCUUCCACCACCCACUACAACCUCUCUGUCUACCCCACACCCAAGCAAGAUUCCAAUUAAUCAUCUUCGCUCUCUGAUAAAAGAUUCCUGCUGUUAAUUUAUUCGCACCAGAAAUUAGGGAUGGCCCAUUCACAAUCAAACAAACACAAGAUAACUUUGCUGGACCGCUCAUUUUCUUUAAUUCUACUAAGGCAAUUACAUUAUUGUGACAACGAUUGUCUUAAUCUCAAAUAUCUUCAAGUACAGAAAUGAUAAGUAUUUAGUCUGGAUCAUAAGAAUAUAGUGGUAAAUACAAUUAGUUUCUACCUCAACCUUUUUGAGGCAUUUCGACGAACUGUUUAAGGAAAAUAUCAAUAGAUAACUGAAUUGAUGAGCCAGAUUAAGAACAUAGAUGUCCGAGUGCAGAAUAUAGUAAUUUAUAAACAAAUGAAAAUAGUAUUUUUCCAGUAAUAAUUUUUGAAAAGAACUAAUGAUAGAGACCAAUUGUUUAAAUUAAACAACACUUUGUUUUCUUGUAAUACUUUCAAUUAGUUGGAUGAUUGGUGUGGUCUUCGUGGACUCAGUUGUUAGUUGGAUAAUUAGUUAAACGACUAUAAUUAGAUGUUUUAAAUAGCUUUCAAUUGUCUAAUAUUUCAUAAAAAUCAACUGUAAAUUACGACUCAGAUGGUUGAAAUACAAUUUACUUCAAAAUAACAAAUUAUUCAACGUGUUGAGAAUGUUGUAUAUGGAGUCUACAUAGACUUGACUAGUUGGGUGUUAGGCAAUUAUGAAUUGAAAAUAUUUGUCAUCAGUAAAUGCUUGGAAAUUAAUGCCAUGUUUGGUAUGUCUCAUUAUGUCUUAUUGGACUGGACUGUGUUGUAUAGUACUUGAAAUCCAUAUUUGAUAAUGGAGGGGAUUAACUUAAAUGGGAUUAUAUAGUUCAUCAGUGUAAAAAAGCUCCGGACUCACUUGUCUAAUAUAGCAAUGCUGAAAUGUGGUUCGUAAAUUAGCGAGAACGCUAUUUUGAGCAUGCAGUCCAACCCUUGGCUUGAAUUACAACUUUUUUUUUAAUGAAAUAGGAAGGAAAAAAAAAACACGAUAACAAAAAGAAAAGAGAGAGAGAGAGAGAGAGAGAGAGAGAGAGAGAGAGAGAGAAAUGCUAGGAAAAAAAAUAAAAACAGAAAAAGAGAGAGAAAUUAAUAAAAUAAUUAUUUUUUAGUCCGACACAGAAUCAAACAUAGGUCUUCACUAUUUUUACAAUUCAACUAUUUAAUCCGACGUAACACCAAAAGUAGCUCAAUAUUUAAUCCAGCUUACGCCAAACGAACCCUAAGCCCGAUAACCCCAGUUGACAUCGUCCCUGUCUCCAAUUAGCCUAUAUAAGGCCAAGGGUAUGCUUACAUUACAGCAGCAACUCAAUAAUCUAGAGGUAAUCUUGUUAAUUAUUCAUGGAAACUCCCAUUAUUUUUAGCUCCUCCUUCCUUAGGUUUUUCAUGGGUUUCUUCUCUGUACUUCUAUGCCUAAUUCUCUGCUCUUUCGAGAACGGAUUUGCUUCGGCAGCAAGAGAUACAAAACCCCACCUUCUGCCACAUACCACUCACACAGUUGAAGUAAACUCUCUUCUACCAGCAACCACCUGCAGCCCCUCCACCAAAGGUUAAUUCAUCCCAUAUUAUAUAUAUAUAUAUAUAUAAAACUUAAUUUCAAUGCAUUUAUGUAUCUCUAACACACACUCUCUCUCUCUAUGCAUACAUGUUUCGAUGAUCUCAGGUCAUAACAAUAACAAGGCAUCAUCGGUAUUGAAAGUGGUGCACAAACAUGGGCCAUGCUCCAAAUUCCACAAAUCAUCAAAAACUUCAACCACAACUAGUGAUGAAAAAUACCAUGCUCAAAUCCUCAAGCAAGACCAAGCCCGAGUCAACUCCAUCCACUCCCGCCUCAACCACAACAACAACAGCAGAAUCAAAGACCCACUCACCCAAUCCGCUGCUACCACCCUCCCCGCCAAGUCCGGUAUUGUUAUCGGCUCACCGAACUACAUUGUCACCGUCGGCCUCGGUACACCCGCCAAGCAACUCUCCCUCGUCUUCGACACUGGCAGCGACCUCACCUGGACCCAAUGCAAGGCAUGUUCUGCUACUCAGUCUUGUUACAAUCAGACUGAGCCCAUCUUCGACCCUUCUCUCUCCGCCUCAUACAAAAAUAUCUCAUGUACCACCGCCGCGUGUACUCAGCUCUCAUCCUCCGGCAUCGAACACCGCUGCUCCGCCUCCACCUCCGCCUGCCUCUACGCCGCCGGGUACGGAGACAUGUCCUUCACUAUCGGGGUCUUUGGCAGCGAAAAGCUUACAUUGACCCCCACGGACGUUUUUGAAGGUUUCCUCUUCGGCUGCGGCCUAGAUAACGAAGGCCUUUUCAGCGGAUCCGCCGGUUUGCUCGGUCUCGGCCGGAGCAGCACCUCCCUCGUCGAACAAACCGCCAAUAAAUACAACCGGUUCUUCUCCUACUGCCUCCCGUCUACUUCCAGCUCCACCGGUCACCUCACCUUCGGAGACGGAGGCUCCGCUAACGGCGUUAAGUUCACGAAGCUCAUCACGUCAUCCCAAAGCGAGUCGUUUUACGGCCUCGGCCUCGCCGGCAUCAAAGUCGGUGGGAGCCAGCUGUCGAUUGAGCCCUCAGUCUUUUCGUCUUCUGGAACGAUCAUCGACUCGGGGACUGUGAUCACGCGGUUGCCGGCGACGGCAUACGCGGCGUUGCGGGGCGCGUUUCGGGAGGCGAUGAAGAACUACACGCUGACUGAGUCGUUUUUGUUGCUGGACACGUGUUACGAUUUCAGCGGCUUGAACACGGUGACGUAUCCGAAGAUAGCGUUUAUGUUUGGGGAUGGACUUACGGUGGACUCGGACGCGACCGGGAUAUUGCUUCUGAUAAGUCCUUCGCAGGUUUGCUUGGCGUUUGCCGGAAACGAGGAUGAUAGUGACUUUGGGAUUAUUGGGAAUGUUCAACAGAAGAGGUUGGAGGUUGUGUAUGACGUCGCUGGAGGAAAAGUCGGAUUUGCCCCUGAAGGUUGCCCUUGAGUAAGGGAAAUACCCAUGUAGUUCUUAUUUUCUAGAUACUGGCCCCUGGCACAUGCAUGAUCUUGUGUCAAUUGGUUUUCUUUUAAAUAUAUAUUGUUUUUAGAAUUAAGAAAAGGUAAUAUAAAUAGUUAUGUUCUAUAAAAGUAGAAUCUAUUAUCUGAUUUUAUUUUAAUAUGAAUUUAUCAUAUUAUCCUUAUUUAAUUAAUAAUUUCAAUUUUUAAUGUUUGUAUUAAUUAAGGGCAUUUUUUGGUAUUUUAAAUAAUUUACCAUUCUCUGCAUUGCUUUAUAUAUAUAGAUAAUUUAACUAUUUCUAAAUAUUUAAGAUAAACCCAAAUUCGAAAUUUGCUGUCAUUUAAGAUAAUAUUUGUCCUAGUAUUAUCAAUUAAAUUACAAUAUGUGCCAUUAACCUUCGUUUGUUUGCAACUGUACAUUGAUUCUUUUCCUAAUAAACACUGUAUAGUCUCUUGGAUGCAUGAUCCCUUCCUUGCCGUAAAUUUGUAUUGAUUUCAUAAAAAGUAAUAAUCAAAAUAAUUGAUGUACUGAUUGGAAUUUGUUUUUAUUAUAUAUAAAUGGCACGUAUAUUAUUUUUACAAUGUGCCUACAAUGGUGCUCAUUUUUAAAUAAAAAUAAUUUACCUGUAUGACAUGUACUUAUAUUGUACCUUAUUAUCUUUUAUUGAUAAUAGGAACAUUAUGUAUUUUAAAAAGAGGUACGUUAUCUUAUAUUGAUAAUGUCAAUUUAUCUAUUAUCUCUUAUUGAUAAUAAUUUGGGAGAUUUUGGAAAAGCCCAAAGGAGAGAGAAAAUUUUUAAAAGAAGCCGAAAUGGACAAAAUUGCCCUUAUUUAUUUUUUGAUUUCUUAAGGAAUCUUUUACAUUUGCAUGUCUUUGGUUUGAAAGUUGAGAGGUUUUUCUGUCUUUUUUGAAAAAGCUUUGGCUUUUUUCAAAAGUGAAAAUUUUUUUAUGGGUAAAACCUAAAUUUACUUAAUAAAUAAUUUACCUAUUAUCUUGUACUAGCCUCUUUGCGUGCGCUUCUGCGCUUGCGAGAGGAUUUUUUUUAAAAAAAAUUUAUUUUAGAAUUAAAAAAGAUAAUUGGUAGUUGUGUUUCAUAAAAAUAGGAUCCAUUAUUUGAAUUUUCUUUUAAUUUUAUUUUUUUAAUAUGAAAAAGUGUGAAUUUACUAUAAUAUCCUCAUUUAAUUAAUAAUUUCAAUUCUUAAUAUUUGCAUUAACCAAUGGCAUUUUUUGGCAUUUUGAAUGUUUUAACAUUCUCUGCCUUUUGCUUUAUAUAUAUAGAUGAUAAUAGGUAAAUUAUUUUUAUAAAAUAUUUGGUACAUUAUUUUCAAAAAUGCGUUAAAUGAGUUGGGUAUAUUAUUUAAAUCAUAAGUAAAUCAUAAUAAAAAAAUGAUGCAUAAAGAGUAUUGAAUUGCAGUUACCAAAAAAACAAGUACUGAAUUGCAGGCUAAUUCCAGGUACUAAGACUUAAUACACCUACCAUAUAACAGGUUAAUUUGUAAAUAGGGGUAGUUUUGGAAUCUGAAAAAUAUAAUAAAUCAUAUUUUAAGUUAGAUUAGGUAACUUGCUUAGUUGGAUCUUAGUCAUAAGGUUUUAUUUGAAAAAAUUGGAUAUUUUAAAUAGAAAAAUAAAGAGAAGAACUACAGGUGAUUAAAAAUGAAUUUUAUGAGUCUAAGCUUAAUUUACUAUUCUUUUUUUAAUAUAACAUUUGUGUUUUAAAAAGCAAAAGGAAGACAAUAUGGUUUUUAUUUUUGUAUUGAAGUGAUAUUAUAAACUGAACCUAGAACUUUAGAUAUGGAAUAAAUAUUCUUAACAACUCGAAAAACAGCAGUUUGAAGAAAGAUUAGUGAACAUUCCAAAGUUUGGUGUACGGAUAUAGUUAAACUGAUUGUUUGAUCAGUUUAACUAUGGACUCUGUUGACUCAUUGACUUUGGGACCCAUGAGUAGUCGUGAGUCGUGACUAGGAAGGAACAGAAACGCAUGCAUGAUGCAUGCAGUACCUUCCUUCCAGACUCCGAGUCCACUUGGUAUUAAUUACACUAUUGACAUAUUGUAUGCAUAAUGUAUGUAUGUGUAUUGACAGAGAACCUUCUUACCUUCAUUUUCAUUUUUUGUCUUUUCCUUGAAAGAUAAUUAACAUAAGAGAACGGGUGGACAAAGUCGAUCGACCAAAAAAUGACAACAAAAAAAUUGUAACGGGUUAGGGCGGGGUUUGAGAACGAUGGUAUGGAGCAAAUGCUAGAAAAUUAAACCCUCCAAAUAGUUUAUAUAAGGCCAAUAGUAUGCUUAAACUUAAAUCUACAGCUAGCUAGGCUUGUUAACUAUAUUCAUUUCUAGCUCCUCCUCUUUCCUCAGGUUUUUUCAUGGGUUUCUUCUCUGUGUUUCUGUUCCUAAUUCUCUGCUCUUUCGAAAAGGCCAUUAUUGCUCUGGCAGCAACAAGUCCAGAACCCCACCUUCCGCCACACACUACUCACACAGUAGAAAUAAACUCUCUUCUACCAGCAACCACCUGCACCCCCUCCACCAAAGGUUAAUUCAUUUCAAACCCCAUUUUAAUUACGCUGUUAAUUCUCUCUCUCUCUCUCUCUCUCUCUCUCUCUCUCUCUCUCCCCCUAUAUAUAUAUAUAUAUAUAUAUAUAUUCAAUAUUCAUAUAUUGUCUGGCUAUAUACGCUGUUAAUUCCAAUGGCGCAUGGGAGUAGAGACUGUGAAAUUCCCUCUAAUAUUCAUAUGCAUAGAAAAACAUACACAUUUUUUUUUUAAGUUUAGCAUAUUAAACUUAUACACACUACACAAAUGCUAUGACUCAACUCUAGAACCUUCCAUAAAAAAGCUAUUAUUCUAAAUCACUACACUAGUUGAUCUUUUUUUUUUAAAAAAAAAAACACACAUAAAGAGCCCCGUGCUUGGCCAAAAAAAAAUCUAAACCAAAUUUACUCUUUUUUUUUAUUUAUAGUAAAUUGAGCUUAGACCAAUAAAAUUCAUUUUAAGUUACCUACAACCCUUUCCUUUAGUUUUCUAUUUAAAAUACCCAAUUUUUUCAAAUAAUACCCGAUGAUUAUGAUCCAACUAAGCAAGUUACCUAAAAUAACUUAAAAUUUGAUUUAUUGUAUUUUUCGGAUUCCAAAACUACCCAUAUUUAUAAGUUAAUAAGUUAUAGGGGGUGUAACUAAUGACACCCGUUGAAUUUAGAAAGAUCUCCAAAUAGUUAUAAUGGAUGUAGGAACUAAUUCAAAAAUUUAUUUGAAAUUAAAUAUUAAAUUCCACAUUGAAGUAUUAUUAAUCUAUUUUACGACUAGUAAUCUAUUUUUGAAUUAAUGGUGUUUUUCUUCUAUGAAUUACGACUAGUAAUCUAUUUAAAGUAUUAGUAAUUUAAAUUCAAUAUUAAAUUUAGGAAUUAAUGUUGUUUUCUUUUUAUGAAUUAUACGACCGGUAUUCUUUUUAUUAUAGUUUUAUGAAUAAUAGUGUACGUUCUAAUUAUAUUGAAAAAUAAUUUGAUAAUCUAUUUAUUGUUUUGUUUUUAAAAUAUUUUUUUUAAUGAACCUAUUUUUCUCCAAAUAUUGUACCUAUUUUUUUCUUUUUUAUUGUUUUAUGAAAAUAUAUUUGAUCAUAUUUUUAUUGUUUGUUUUAUGAAAAUAUUUUUUUUACAUGAGCCUAUUUUUUCUCUCAAAAUAAUGUAUCAAUUUUUUUUCCUCUAAUAAUGUACCUAGUAAAACAAUUUACCUAGUAUGAUGAACCUAUUUUUUCUGCUGAAUUUUGUAUCUAUUUUUUUCUAUAAAUAAUGUACCUAUUUUUUUUCUCUAAUAAUGUAUACCUGGUAAAACAAAUUUUCUAGUAUAAUGAACUUAUUUUUUUCUUCUAAAUAAUGUGCAUAUUUUUAAUUUAUAAAAAUGUGUAUAAAUUUCAAUUAUACAACGUACCUAUUUUCUAUAAAUUAUUGUGUACCUAUUUUUAAUUUAUGAAAAAUGUACGAAAAUUUCAAUUACGAAGUAACUGACCUAUUUUUGUCAAAUUUUUUCGGUAAAUAAUAUACCGAUAUUGUUAUAGGUAUAUAUUUAUAUUUAUAUUUUUCAUAUGUGCAUUAUUGGAUAUGUAAUUUACAUAUUAUUUUUUUUAUUUGCAAUUUUAAGGGGCCAUAUGCUAGAGAGAAUGGCAACCGAAAGAAAUGGGGUGAUUGAUAUGCUAUUAAUAGGGAGUUUUAAUUACAAUUAUGGCAGUUAAUGAAAGGCUUGGAAUAAAUUAUAAAUAAAAUAUGAAGUUUGAUGGCAAUGAUGUAAAAACAUAUGAAUACUACGACCUCUUAUAUCCUACUGGUCAUUUAAGUUUGAAAUUGCGUUUUACACAUAAAUUUAUAGAAUGAUGGGUAUAUGCCUGGAAAAAUAGAAUUUGUAGGGCAUAUAUAGUAACAAAGAAAAACAACAAAAUAACAUAGCCCCCGUGCCCCAUUACCUUUGUGUCUCUCUCACCCACAUGGCAUGCAUGGUCUUGUUACCCGUAAACUAGUGGCAGGCAUGCACAGAUGGAUAUAAUUGUGAAUAUAUGCAUAAAGAGUCACAUGUAUACAUACACUCAUCCCUUUCAAUGACCAGGUCAUACCAAUAACAAGGCAUCAAUAUUGGAAGUGGUACACAAGCAUGGGCCAUGCUCUAUAUUCCACAAAUCAUCCAAAACUUCAACCACAAAAAGUGAUGACAAAUACCACGCUCAAAUCCUCAAGCAAGACGAAGCCCGAGUCAACUCAAUCCACUCCCGCCUCAACUACAGAAUCCACGACCCAUUCACCCAAUCCUCCGCCUCCGCCACCCUCCCAGCCAAGUCCGGUCUCCUUCUGGGCUCACCGAACUACUUAGUCACCGUCGGUCUCGGCACACCCGCCAAGCAACUCUCUCUCGAAUUCGACACCGGCAGCGACCUCACCUGGACCCAAUGCCGCCCAUGUCUUCGAUAUUGUUACACACAGAGCGAGCCCAUCUUCGACCCUUCUCUCUCUGCCUCAUACAAAAACUUAUCCUGUACAUCCGCCACGUGUACUCAACUCUCAUCCGCCGGCAUCCCACACCGUUGCUCCUCCGCCUCGUCCUCCUGCCUUUACGGCAUCCGGUACGGUGACGGGUCCUUCUCCAUCGGGGAUUUCGCCAAAGAAAAGCUUACAUUGACCUCCAUGGACGUUUUUGAAGGUUUCCUCUUCGGCUGUGGCCAAGACAACCAAGGCCUUUUCAACGGCUCUGCCGGUUUGCUCGGUCUCGGCCGAAACAACAUCUCCCUCGUAGAACAAACCGCCAUGAAAUACAACCGCUUCUUCUCCUACUGCCUUCCGUCAACUUCCAGCUCCACCGGUCAUCUCACCUUCGGCAACGGAGGAGGCUCCGCUAACGGCGUCAAGUUCACCAAGCUCACCACGUUAUCCGAAAGAGAGUCGUCGUUUUAUGGCCUCGGCCUCACCGGCAUCAGCGUAGGCGGGUGCCAGCUGCCGGUUGCGUCCUCGGUCUUUUCGUCUUCGGGAACCAUCAUCGACUCGGGGACGGUGAUCACGAGGCUGCCGGCGACUGCAUACACGGCUUUGCGGGACGCGUUUCGGGAGGGUAUGAAAAACUACACGAUGACUAUGUCGUUUUCGCUGCUGGACACGUGUUACAAUGUCAGUGGCUACGAGACGGUGUCGUUUCCGGAUAUUGCGUUUGGAUUUGGGGACGGGGUUACGGUGGACUUGGACGCGGCCGGGAUAUUGUUGGCGGUAAGUGAUUCGCAGGUUUGUUUGGCGUUUGCGGGAAACAAGGAUGAUAGUGACAUUGGGAUUAUUGGGAAUGUUCAACAGAAGCGGUUGGAGGUGGUGUAUGACGUGGCUGGUGGAAAAGUCGGAUUUGCCCCUGCAAGUUGCCCCUGAGUAAUGAACAUCGUCCAUGGGGCAUAAUUGUAACACAAACUGCUAGCUAUAGAAUAAAGCAUUGUGUUCCAUAUUUUUCUGUAAUGGGAUUGUAUUGGGAAGUAUCCAAUUCUUACCUUUCCCCACUACUUGUAUAAAAUAGUCUAAUGACCAAUCAAGCGAUAGUAUUUUAUAUAAUAAUAAAAUAAUCGAAUGUAUUGGAAGGAAAAUUCCAACUCAAAUACAAAAAGGGGUUUAUUGCCCUAAUCAAUUCUCCUAACUCACGUAUGUUGUCGGUGUUUUGAAGUAAUGCCACGUGUUAAUGUGCUGUUUCUCUUUUGAAAUAGCAAAAGUAGAACACUAAUCUCCAUCUCCUAGUUUGGGCUUGUUUUGCUUUUGGACUCGACCAGGCCAACUUUAGCACAAAAUGUCUUAAGAAGGACCUAAAAGAAAAUAAAAAAAGAAAAGGUCAAUGAAUUGGGAAGGCUUUGGCUUGGGCUUGGGGUGGUUCAGCUUCAAAUUUUAACCAGUGCCUAGGGUUCAGUGUAUUGGUUUCAGCGGAAAGGCUCGUCAGUCUGCAGUCUGUGUCUUGGGCUGCCUAUCCUUAACUAACCACUUUCUGAUUGCUUUGUGUAUGGGCUUUUUUUUUUCGGCAGCUACAAAUGGGCUAGGCUGCUAUAAGGAGCGAAUUGAUAAAAUUAUCUCUUGUGUUUAAGUUCAAAGAUCAAGCCCCAAGAAUGCUUCUAAAGGAUAGUGAAGCCUUAAGAAACACUUUGGUUACCUUCACCAACAAAAAUAACAACAGCUUACAGAUAAAUUCUUAGCUUGGCAUGAGAAGCUUGUGGCAUGGGAGCUAAGCAUUCAUGAAUUUAGCAUGAGAGAGAGAAAUGAUUGAGAUUUCCUAUGAGAAAUAGAGUUUUUAAGGCAUGAGGGAAGGGAUUCUAAAAGGAUUUGUUGUGGAGAGAGAGGGGGAGAGAGAUGAGGGCAAUGGGUGGCUUAAGUGUUUUUCCACCAGCUUGACAGAGGCUCUGUCAAAUGUUAAAACAGUCUACCAAAAAAGGGAAAAUGGGAGAGAAUGAUGAAUAUAGCACGAAUUUGCUAGGUUUUGCAAGUGAGAGAGGAAGCUUGCUCUCUGGACGUGGUUGUGGCUAGUGGUGGAGUAUUGGGUGUUUUUGGUAGUUUUUCAGCAGCCUGACAAAAGCUUGCCAGAAGAGAAAAUAGAAGGAGAUGGAGGAAUAGGGCACGAAAUUGCAGAGUUUCAGAGAUGAGAGAUGAAGCUUGCUCUCUAGAUGUAGGUUGAGAUAAUUGGUAGGAAAUGCUUCUUUUUAUAGGCAUUAGAAGCUACUUUUUUUCAAGAAACCCUAAUAGUUUCUAUCCAAUUUGGCCAAGCUUUUUUCCUUCAUUUCUUCUCCAUUCCUUUGACUUAUCCUAUUUGGUGAAAUUCUCUCUGCCCAAUUGCACAAAAACAGAGAUUUUGGGAGCUCAAUGCUCUUCUCACAGCUGCCUCAGUAGAGAACUCCCAUUUUCAGCCAUCUUUCUUCCUUCUUUACUCCCCUCUUCUAUGGCUAGAUCUGAUGGGGGGGAAAGAAAUGGGUAUGUACACUGGUUUGAAGGGUGUUUUGCUCAAGUAUCCCUUGGUUUUUCUGAUGGCUUGCGUUGGAUUUGUCUUUGGCCAUGUGCUGGAGAUUCCCAGCAGCCUGCAAAUGUGAGUGGCUUUUGGCUUUUAUCAUGGUUUUGUCUCCAACCAUGUACCGGAGACUUUCAAAUAUUUUGUUGGUCACUUGGGCCAUUCUUUAAGGUAAAGGCGCUAGUUCACUAAAGGGAUGGGCCAACUUCCCAAAGUGAUGGGCUAUCUUUUCUAAGGUAAUGAGCUAUUUUCUCUCCUUUAUGUUUACCCACAUAUUUGGGCUCAAGAAAUGGACUUGAGUUUCGGGAUUCCCAAGCAGCCCAAAACUUCCAUUUCUCAGCUCAUCAAUAGGCCUCAUGAAAGCUCGUAACCAUCUAUACCACAACCCAAUCAGCAAGCCCAAGGCAUUCGCGUGGCUUGGGUCCACUUAAACUUGUAGUGUGGCGUGUUGCUUAUUUGCUUGGCGUGGCACGUGUGCAAGCGUAUAUGAUGAACUCUUGCGUACCUAAAUUAGGUUUCUUCCCAAGUUAGGUGUCGUACUAGGCCGAGAAUUUAUUCGGGCCCAACAGUGGAUUUUUUGAACCUCAACACUUAGGUAGCAAAAAUCAGAGGACACAGAGAGAUAGAGAGAGGGAGACAGCCACAGACCAUCAAGUACUUUAAGUUAGGUUUGAUUCAUGAUAUUAACUGACUCUUAUAUUUGCUUUAAUAUCCAUGUGGAUGAAAUUUAAAAUGUGAUAUCAUGUGGUUAAGUAGUGGUGUAGGAUUUGUCUUUCAAUGGUUUCAACCAAUUUCGUGGAUGUUAAGAUUGAUAUAGGUUGGUUGACAAUAGGUAGAUCGUCCUUAUCGUUUCUAAUCCUAAUAUGACAAUGCCUUAUAUUAAUUUUCUAAUUUUUGGUUGAAUAUCUUAUUUGAACAAAGGCAUCUGAAAAUUUGAUCAUUUUGAUGUGUAGAGGCCAUUGUUACACUUCGCAAAGAAAAAUAAUGUAUAUCUUUUGCUGGACAAAAUUACGCUUAUAUAUAUGUGCUGGCUAGUGUGUUCCAUUUCUUUUUGUUUUGUUAUUUGGCAAAUGUUACACUUUUGUACAGGGGAACAAUACCACCCAUCUUUCCUUUUGAAGUGUUAUUUGAAGAAAAUGAUUUUGAAUGAUUUGAAAGAAUUACAUAUGCACUUUAAAAAAAAUGCAACCUUCAAAAAUACAUCCAAAUAGCUAAAUAAAGUAUUUCUUGUUUGUUUUAUGGGAAAUAUGAAACUUUGCUCCCACAGAUGAUAUUGACGGAGAAAAGAAAGAAUUUUCGUUCCUAAACCAAGAAGAGAAAUCACGUGGGUUUUUGAUCAGAAGAGGAGAUUGGAAUGAGUAGGAGGGUAUUUUAGAAAUUUUCUCCCCACUAAAAAUAUUAUCAAAAUAUUAAAUAGAAAGUUUCUUUUAAAAAAAGAAUAAAAGAUAGAGUCAAAAGUUAUUAACAGCUGGCGUCAUCUCAUUAGGCUGGGACACUGACGUGGACAGCUGACCAUAGCAUACCCAUGGCAGGGAAGUUUUUCUCCAGUGGAGGAGACUGUGCAGAAGAAGAUAGCCUUUUUUCUUAUGCUUUUCUUUCCUCUGCCCUUCUCUUUUCUAACUUGCUAUCAUGGUAUGGUUCUGAGCUUUCUCAUUCUCACGUCUUUGUUGUUGUAAUUCUAUCUGAGAAAUUUAUAAAAUUCUUCUCUGUAUUCUUUUUGGUCAGUUGGGUGAGUGCUGUUUGAUUGCCUUGUUGCUUUUUUUCUUCCCUGAUCUAGGGUUUAGGGUUUCAAACAUUUUAUUGAGCUUGAAGAGGAAGUGAUGAUGAUAAAGCAAGGACCUUUUGAUAAAGAUUACUACUUCCUGAUGUGGGCCUUUGACCAUAGAAAGAGAUCAGAUAAAGCAAGGAAAUGGGAGAAAAUAUACGCCCUUUGGCAUUUGAUGGUCCUUGUUGCUUGCUUGUAAGUUGUAAUUGUCGGUGAGCAGGCUUAGCUAAAGAGAGUAAAGGAAAGCAACAGUGAGAGAGAGAACUCUCCCUCCUCUCUUUUCCACACUUUCUCUCUCCAUCUUCUUUUCUUUAUCUCCUUUACUUUGCCACACCCAAAGCAAUACUUACUAAACUAACUAAUCCAAAAUGAUUAUUAAUUUAUUAACUGGGGUUAAUUGCUGCAGCCUUCAUCCCAAAGCAAUACUUACUAAACUAACUAAUCCACAGGCUUCUUGUGAGGCAAUCUUUUCUCUUAUUCAAUUACCCCAGUUAAUAUGAAACUGUUGAAAUCAAUAUUUAUAUAAAUACAAUUGCGAAAAAAUAUUUACGAAAUUUUGUAAGUAAUACGUAGAGCACGUGAUUUAAAAAAAAUAUCUCACAUAUGAGAAAGCGCGUACAAAAAGACUAAUAAAACAUAAACAAAAAGGAUAAUCCUCAAGGGGAGCCACUAAUUAUUGAUCAUAUACCAGACAACUCCCAUCUUUAUAUAACUUCCAUUUUCAUUUUUCUUUUAAUUUUGUAAUUUGUAAUUUGGAUUUUUGGGAGGUGGAGUGGGAUAAGAAUUAUAGGGUGCGGUUCGUGUACCUAGGAAACCGCCACGUUCUUUCUUUAGGAAAUUUGGGAUAAAGUUAAAAAAACAUAAGUUGGGAGGUAGUGAAAUUAAAAGCAAGGCCAUGUGUUUCAUGAAUCAAAAUCAGACAGUUUUGUGUCCCAGUGAUGCAGAGAUAUAUACAAAUAUCAUUUAGACUUUUGCUUUUGGGCUUUGAUCAGGAUCUGAUCCGUUAUCUCAUCACCUUUUUUUUUUCUUUUUCCUUUUUUUACUCUUCAGUUUCUGCAUGUGCGUUACACUAACAUCAUUACUAAUCUCCUUUUUAUCUAAGCUGUCUUUCUGUAAAGGUAACACUGAUAUUCCUUCCCCAUAAUUCAAAGAAAAAAGGAGUUUGAGAUGUGGAAAUAUGGAUUCCCGAAUCAAAACUUUUUGAUUUUGUUAACGAUUAUAGUGGGCCCAUCAGUACUGGGAAUUUGUCUGCUUAUUUUGAAUUGAAAGCUACCUCUUGUUGGAAAACCUUAAAAGUUGUUUCUUUCCAAGCCCACUUACACUUGCUGUGUAAACUAAUGAAGUCUACAUGAAAGCAAUCUCAUGUCCUAUUGUGUAUAUGCAUGUGCUUAAUUGGUGUAUAUUCUGUAGUACCACAACAGAAUGUUUAACAUUCAAUUGGGGCUAAUUCCAUGAUAGAGUGGUAAUUGAACAGUAUCAAUACAUCAAUAAGUGCACAGUUGGGUAUACACAAUGAUCAAAAGGAGACAAAACAUAACAGCGGUUUAAGUGUUUCAUAAGAGAGUAAAAUAGAAGAAAUUGAGAACUGUUCAUAAGCAAAUCUGCCCAUUCAUAAGCAUACGUCUAAUUAUAAAAUCAAAGAACAAGAUACUGAAUAAAAAUAAAGUGAGAAAGAGAGAUUGUUAAAUGCUCUCAGCAACCAAUCAUAUUGUAAAAUGAGAAAGAGAGAUGAUUGUCGUCAAACCUUGCUACAACGGCCGAGAUCUUUGGAUCCACUAGAAUCUCCCCUUUCAGCUUCAACCCCAGAUAUUUCUUUGUCUUUGUACCUCUCAACCUUGAAAGCCCUUGGAACAAGGUGGUUCUAUAUACCAGACAAAAGAAACCAAUUAUCAAAUUUAAUCAGAAACUCACAUUACCAACAAACAAAACCCAGCUAUCCAAAAAAAUUCAAGAAACCAAAAGACAAAGGGAAUAGAAAAAGCAAACUGACAUUUGAUUUCAAAAUCCCCAAUUUCUAGGGUUUGAACUGAUGAGAGCGAGGAGGAGAGAUGGACGAAAAGAUAGAGAGAGAGAGAGAGAGAGAGAGAGAGAGCACGCGAGCUUCAAGCUUCUCCCAUGGAAGCUAGCUUGAGUGAGAACCAGUAGCACAGAGCGAACCAGCAGAUCCAACGACAAGAGAAAAAAAAUUCAAGAAAAACGCAUUUGUUUUGUUUUGAAUAAUAAGGGUCUUUUUGCAAAUGACCCCAUUGGUGUAGUGGUUUGGAGUAUUUACUCCCUCAGACAAGGUCUUGGAUUCGAGUCCUAGCAUCCGCAUAGUGUGUGUGAGUUUAGUAUGCUAUCGCCCCUCUCAAUGAGUCCUGUUUACCUGUUACCAAAGUUCCUGUGGCCUCCUGUUUCCCUGCUAGUUUCGUGACAUGUGGCAAGCCACUUAACACCACUUAACUCUGUUAACUCUUUUUGCUUCUUUUUAUUGUUUGUUUUUUUUGCUUUUUCUCCCAGUUCUGCCCCUUGAGGGUUUAGGGUUUAGGGUUUAGAGCUGGUGUUUCGGCUCGAGUCCAUGUGUUGUUUUGGGCUGGUAAGGGAAAAAUGAGCGGAAAAGAUAAGAGAAGGUAGGGAAAAAGGGGGUGAAGGAGAAACUAAAAAAAGAAAUAAAAAAGGAGAUGAGAGAAAAAGAAAAACAAAGCAAAAGCAAAAGCAAAAAAAAAAAAGAAGAGAGAGAGAGAGAGAGAGAGAGAGAGAGAGAGAGAGAGAGAGAGAAUGUGGAGGUAGAGAUCUGGAAAAGAUAACAAAAAAAGAAGAAGAGGAGAGGAGACGACGGAGGGAGGGGGAGAGAAGAGAGAAAGGGGCAUAACAGGGAGAAAAAGAAAAAAAGAAAAAAAAAGCAAAAAGAAGCAAAAAGAGUAAACAAAGUUAAGUGGUUUUAAGUGGCUUGCCACAUGUCAUGAAAUUAGCAGGGAAACAGGGGGCACAGGAACUUUAGUAACAGGUAAAUCGGACUCCCUCUCAAUAGGAAAUAUCCACAAAACACAAAAGAAAAAAAGGUCUUUUAAAAUUUGUUUUGGAAUUGGAUUUUUAAAAAUAGACCUACCAAACGAGUUUUUGGGCUUUUGAAUUUAAAAUCAGUUUUUGAGUUUAUAAAAUUGGACUCAAAUCAAAUACCAAACAGACCCUUAAAGACUUAAUGUUUUCUUAAAAUAUUGCGUUUGUUUAUUUUAUAGAGUACAAUUAUAUGUUUUAAAUAAUUUUCAAAUUAUCUAAUAUUUUUUAAGAAUCAACUGUAAAUUAUGCCUGACGGUGAAAAUACAAUUUACCUCAAAAAUAACUAAUUAUUUGACGUUAUUUGACGUGUUGAGAAGGCUAAAUAUGGAGUCUACAGAAGUCUAGAGAGACUUGACUAGUUGACAUCCCUGUCUCCAAUUAGCCUAUAUAGGGCCAAGAGUAUGCUUACAUUACAGCAGCAACUCAAUAAUCUAGAGGCACUCUUGUUAAUUAUUCAUGGCAACUCCCAUUAUUUCUAGCUCCUCCUUCCUUAGGUUUUUCAUGGCUUUCUUCUCUGUAUUUCUAUGCCUAAGUCUCUGCUCUUUCGAGAACGGAUUUGCUUUGGCAGCAAGAGAUACAAAACCCCACCCUCUCCCACAUACCACUCACACAGUUGAAGUGAAGUCUCUUCUACCAGCAACCACCUGCAGCCCCUCCACCAAAGGUUAAUUCAUCCCAUAUUAUAUAUAUAUAUUAAUUUCAAACCCCAUUUUAUGUGCAUUUAUGUAUCUCUAACACACACACACACACUCUGUCUCUGUCUCUCUCUCUCUCUCUCUCUCUCUCUCUCUCUCUCUCUAUGCAUACAUGUUUCAAUGAUCUCAGGUCAUAACAUUAACAAGGCAUCAUCGGUACUGAAAGUGGUGCACAAACAUGGGCCAUGCUCCAAUUUCCACAAAUCAUCAAAAACUUCAACCACAACUUGUGAUGAAAAAUACCAUGCUCAAAUCCUCAAGCAAGACCAAGCCCGAGUCAACUCAAUCCACUCCCGCCUCAACCACAACAACAACAAAGACCCACUCACCCAAUCCGCCGCCACCACCCUCCCCGCCAAGUCUGGUCUCGUUAUCGGCACAGGGAACUACAUUGUCACCGUCAGCCUCGGUACACCCGCCAAGCAACUCUCCCUCGCCUUCGACACCGGCAGCGACCUCACCUGGACCCAAUGCAAGGCAUGUUCUGCUACUCAGUCUUGUUACAAACAGAGAGAGCCCAUCUUCAACCCUUUUCUCUCCGCCUCAUACAAAAAAAUCUCAUGUACCACCGCCGCGUGUACUCAGCUCUCAUCCAUCGGCGUCCAACACGG
rnacentral:lncRNA from 1 species